AAUCUUGGACAAUGGGCGCAAGCCUGAUCCAGCCAUGCCGCGUGAGUGAUGAAGGCCCUAGGGUCGUAAAGCUCUUUCGCCAGGGAUGAUAAUGACAGUACCUGGUAAAGAAACCCCGGCUAACUCCGUGCCAGCAGCCGCGGUAAUACGGAGGGGUUAGCGUUGUUCGGAAUUACUGGGCGUAAAGCGCGCGUAGGCGGAUUAGUCAGUUAGAGGUGAAAUCCCAGGGCUCAACCCUGGAACUGCCUUUAAUACUGCUAGUCUUGAGUUCGAGAGAGGUGAGUGGAAUUCCGAGUGUAGAGGUGAAAUUCGUAGAUAUUCGGAGGAACACCAGUGGCGAAGGCGGCUCACUGGCUCGAUACUGACGCUGAGGUGCGAAAGUGUGGGGAGCAAACAGGAUUAGAUACCCUGGUAG
rnacentral:rRNA from 1 species